AACAACCAGGUCACAUGAUCAAAAACAACCAGGUCACAUGAUUAAACAACAACCAGGUCGCAUGAUUAAACAACAACCAGGUCACAUGAUCAAAAACAACCAGGUCACAUGAUUAAACAACAACCAGGUCGCAUGAUUAAACAACAACCAGGUCACAUGAUCAAAAACAACCAGGUCACAUGAUCAAAAACAACCAGGUCACAUGAUUAAACAACAACUAGGUCGCAUGAUUAAACAACAAUCAGGUCGCAUGAUUAAACAACAACCAGGUCACGUGAUUAAACAACAACCAGGUCACAUGAUCAAAAACAACCCGGUCACAUGAUCAAAAACAACCAGGUCACAUGAUCAAAAACAACCAGGCCACAUGGUCAAACAACAACCAGGUCACAUGAUCAAAAACAACCCGGUCACAUGAUCAACAACAACCAGGUCACAUGAUCAAAAACAACCAGGCCACAUGGUCAAACAACAACCAGGUCACAUGAUCAAAAACAACCAGGUCACGUGAUAAAAAUAAAACCAGGCCACGUGAUAAAAAAAACCAGGUCACGUGAUCAAAAACAACCAGGUCACAUGAUAAAAAUAAAACCAGGUCACAUGAUCAAAAACAGCCAGGUCACAUGGUCAAAAACAACCAGGUCACAUGAUCACAAACAACCAGGUCAAGUGAUCAAAAACAACCAGGUCACAUG